rfam:Acanthisitta chloris contig80015, whole genome shotgun sequence.
CCAACGGCUCUUUUAAGAGCCACCUAAGUUUUCUUUUAAAAGGCUG